AAAACAUACACAAGGCUGAAAACAGGGUAAAACAUAACAGAGAACACAAGAGGCUGUUAAGAACAAGGAAACAGGGAAUAAAUGAACACAAUAAUACAGGAAAAAAUAUAAUAGAAAACCACAACCAUGACAAAUCCCUUG